GGUAAGAUGACUGAUAUAAGUGGUAGAUUGUAAAUCUAUAAAUGAGUUUAAUAGCUCUCUUAUCA
rnacentral:tRNA from 1 species